AAAAUCAUUGAAUAUUGUGAUUGAAGGAUGAUCUUAUAGAGAUGCAUAAAACAAUGCAGGGAAAUAGAAAGGGUGUAUGCACAGAGUCAUCUCCCCAAG